UACCAGCACCCCGAGUGGUUGGGACGAUUAUUGGGCCUAAAGCAUCCGUAGCCGGUUCUGCAAGUCCUCCGUUAAAUCCACCUGCUCAACAGAUGGGCUGCGGAGGAUACUAUAGAGCUAGGAGGCGGGAGAGGCAAACGGUACUCAGUGGGUAGGGGUAAAAUCCAUUGAUCCACUGAAGACCACCAGUGGCGAAGGCGGUUUGCCAGAACGCGCUCGACGGUGAGGGAUGAAAGCUGGGGGAGCAAACCGG
rnacentral:rRNA from 1 species